UACGUAGGGUGCAAGCGUUAAUCGGAAUUACUGGGCGUAAAGCGUGCGCAGGCGGUGAUGUAAGACAGGUGUGAAAUCCCCGGGCUUAACCUGGGAACCGCAUUUGUGACUGCAUCGCUGGAGUGCGGCAGAGGGGGAUGGAAUUCCGCGUGUAGCAGUGAAAUGCGUAGAUAUGCGGAGGAACACCGAUGGCGAAGGCAGCCCCCUGGGCCAAUACUGACGCUCAGGCACGAAAGCGUGGGGAGCAAACAGG
rnacentral:rRNA from 1 species